rnacentral:rRNA from 1 species
UAUCUCUGUAGAGUCUGCAUAUCAAUAAGCGGAGGAAAAGAAACUAACAAGGAUUCCCUUAGUAACGGCGAGUGAAGCGGGAAGAGCUCAAAUUUGAAAUCUUCAAGGUUCUACCUUGACGAAUUGUAGUUUAAAGAAGUGUUUUCUGUUAGAUGAGUUAGGUAAAAGUUCUUGGAAUAGGACAUCAUAGAGGGUGAGAAUCCCGUAUUUGACUAUUACUUCCAGCGUUGUGAUACACUUUCAAAGAGUCGGAUUGUUUGGGAAUGCAGUCCAAAAUGGGUGGUAAAUUUCAUCUAAAGCUAAAUAUUGGCGAGAGACCGAUAGCGAACAAGUACCGUGAGGGAAAGAUGAAAAGAACUUUGAAAAGAGAGUUAAACAGUACGUGAAAUUGUCAAAAGGGAAGCGUUUGACACCAGUGUUGUUUUCUCGAAAAUCAAUUAAGAAUGGCUUGAUUUUGUGUUGUAUUGACCUUAUCAGCUUUCUGCACUCUUUUCUUGAGUCUUUUUUAAUGCACUUUUCGGUUAACAAGUCAACAUCAAUUUCUUUUGUUGUAAAAGAGUCAUUGGAAGGUGGCUUUCACCUUCGGAGAAAGUGUUUAUAGCCUUUGGCUUCUGCAAUCGGAGAGAUUGAGGUCUGCAGCGUAGAUCCUUCGGGGCUAGAUACGUAGAUGCUAAGUUAUAGUUUUUUAUAGACAACUUGUUGACUAUAAUUAAUCAUGUAGCUUACUCGCUUAUGCGCUAUUUUACCUACGCUUAGGAUGUUGACGAGACUGUCGAUCUC